UUCCGGUUGAUCCUGCCGGACCUGACUGCUAUCGGAUUGGUACUAAGCCAUGUGAGUCGUUGUAGCAAUACAAGGCAUACGGCUCAGUAACACGUAGUCAAUCUAACCUAUGGACGGGGAUAACCUCGGGAAACUGGGGAUAAACCCCGAUAGAUCAUAAUGCCUGGAACGGUUUAUGGUUCAAAUGAUUCGUCGCCGUAGGGUGGGACUGCGGCCUAUCAGCUUGUUGGUGAGGUAAUGGCCCACCAAGGCUAUUACAGGUACGGGCUCUGAGAGGAGUAGCCCGGAGAUGGGUACUGAGACACGGACCCAGGCCCUAUGGGGCGCAGCAGGCGAGAAACCUUUGCAAUGUGCGCAAGCACGACAAGGUUAAUCCGAGUGUUUCCUGUUAAAGGAAUCUUUUGUUAGUCGUAAAAUCACUAUUGAAUAAGGGGUGGGCAAGUUCUGGUGUCAGCCGCCGCGGUAAAACCAGCACCUCAAGUGGUCAGGAUGAUUAUUGGGCCUAAAGCAUCCGUAGCCUGUUCUGAAAGUUUCCGGUUAAAUCCAUUAACUCAACUAAUGGGCUGCCGAAAAUACUGCAGAACUAGGGAGUGGGAGAGGUAGACGGUACUCGGUAGGAAGGGGUAAAAUCCUUUGAUCUAUUGAUGACCACCUGUGGCGAAGGCGGUCUACCAGAACACGUUCGACGGUGAGGGAUGAAAGCUGGGGGAGCAAACCGGAUUAGAUACCCGGGUAGUCCCAGCUGUAAACGAUGCAAACUCGGUGAUGCGCUGGCUUGUGGCCAGUGCAGUGCCGCAGGGAAGCCGUUAAGUUUGCCGCCUGGGAAGUACGUACGCAAGUAUGAAACUUAAAGGAAU
rnacentral:rRNA from 1 species